UAAGAGGUCCCGCCUGCCCUGUGACCAUGAGUUUAACGGCCGCGGUAUUUUGACCGUGCAAAGGUAGCGCAAUCACUUGUCUUUUAAAUGGAGACCUGUAUGAAUGGCACGACGAGGGCUUAACUGUCUCCUUUCCCCAGUCAAUGAAAUUGAUCUUCCCGUGCAGAAGCGGGAAUACCAUCAUAAGACGAGAAGACCCUGUGGAGCUUUAGACACUAAGCCAGACCAUGUCAAAUACCCCCCUAUAACGGGCUGAACCUAUUGGGCCCCUGUCCUAAUGUCUUUGGUUGGGGCGACCUCGGGGAAACAAAAAUCCCCCGCGUGGAACAGGAGUAUUACACUCCCAAAAUCUAGAGCCACAGCUCAAACUGACAGAAUUUCUGACCAAUAAAAGAUCCGGCCUUCCGCCGAUCAACGGACCGAGUUACCCCAGGGAUAACAGCGCAAUCCCCUUUUAGAGCCCAUAUCGACAAGGGGGUUUACGACCUCGAUGUUGGAUCAGGACAUCCUAAUGGUGCAACCGCUAUUAAGGGUUCGUUUGUUCAACGAUUAAAGUCC
rnacentral:rRNA from 1 species